GGGUCCUCCUCCACCCUAAAAUGGGUUCCUGUGGUCUCCGGGUCUUCCUUCACUCAAAAAAGGGUUCUUCCGGGCUCCAGGUCCUCCUCAACCCAAAAAGGGUUCCUCCGGCCUCCGGGUCCUCCUCCACACUAAAGAGUGUUUCUCCAGCCUCCGGGCUCUCCUUUACCCUAAAAUGGGUUCCUGUGCUCUCCGAGUCUUCCCUCACUCAAAAAAGGGUUCUUCUGGCCUCAGGGUCCUCCUCCACCCAAAACUGGUUCCUCCAGCCUCCGGGCUCUCCUCCACCCUGAACAGGAUUUCCUCUAGCCUCCGGGUCCUCCUCCACUCAAAAAGCGUCCCUCCGGCCUCAGGGUCUUCCGACACCCUAAAGAGUGUUCCUCCAGCCUCCGGGCUUUACUACACCAUAAAAAUGGUUUCCUCCGGCCUCAGGGUCCUCCUCCACCCUAAAAUGGGUUCCUGUGGCCUCCGGGUCUUCCUCCACUCAAAACAGGGUUCCUCCGGGCUCCAGGUCAUCCUCAACCCAAAAAGGGUUCCUCCUGGUCCUCCUCCACUCAAAAAUGGUUCCUCCGGCCACUGGGCUCUACUACACCAUAAAAAUGUUUACCUCCGGGCUUCGGGUCCUCCACCACCCAAAAAUUGUCCCUCCGGCCUCCGGGUCCUCCUCCACCCUAAAGGGUUUCUCUGGCCUCCGGGUCCUCCUCCACCCUAAAGGGUUCCUCUGGCCUCCGGGUCCUCCUUUACUCAAAAAAGGUUCCUUCGGCCUCCAGGUCUUCCUCCACCCAAAAAUGGUCCUUCCGGCCUCAGGGUCCUCCUCCCCCCUGAAGGGUUCCUCUGGCCUCCGGGUCCUCCUUCACUCAGAAAGGGGUUCGCCGGGUCCUCCACCACCCAAUAAUGGUCCCUCCGGGUCCUCUUCCACCUUAAAGGGUUCCUCUGGCCCCCGGGUCCUCCUACACCCAAAAAGGGUUCCUCCAGUGUCUGGGUCUUCCUCCACCCUAAAAUGGCUUCCUCUGACUUUCGGGUCCUCCUUCACCCUAAAGAGUGUUUCCCCUGGCCUCUGGGCUCUACUACACCCUAAAGAGUGUUCCUCUGGGCUCUACUACAUAAAAACGGUUUCCUCUAGCCUCAGGGCUCUCCUCCACCCUGAACAGGGUUUCCUCUAGCCUUUAGGUCCUCCUCCACCCAAAAAGGCUUCCUCUGGCCUCCGGGUCCUCCUCCACCCCUUAGAGGGUCUUUUUGCUAGGAGGGUUCACCUCCACCCUUCAGUGGGUUCCCCUGGCCUUCUGCUACACUUCUAUCCUGCAGCAGGUAGGUCACCAUCAGCAGUUGAGUUUAUUCAGUUCCUAAAUGCUGCAUGGUUGAUCACUUACAACCACCACAAUAAAUAACUAGAAAAACGAUGGCAAAACAAUAUUCUCAAGGUCCUUUAAGGAAAUAUGGACCAACUAUGGAACAACAACAAAAAACAAUAUUCUCAAAGAGCUUCCAGGAAAUAUGGACCAACUAUGGAAAAAAAUAUAUAUAUUUAUUCUCAAAGAGCUUGCAAGGAAAUAUGGACCAACUGUGGAACAACAACAACAAAAAAACAAUAUUCUCAAAGAGCUUCCAGGAAAUAUGGACCAACUAUAGAAAAAAAAAUAUAUUUAUUUUCAAAGAGCUUCCAAGGAAAUAUGGACCAACUGUGGAACAACAACAAAAAACAAAAUUCACAAAGGGCUUUUAAGGAAAUUUGGACAAACAAUAGAACAACAAAAUUCAAAUUGCCCUUAGGAAAAUAUCACAUCAUUAGCAGGUUUUUCAAGGAAACUAUAGAACAGCAACAAAAACAUUCACAAGAUGCUCUGGAAGGAACUACAGCCUAGCACCGAGGGAGAAUUGUGACAGCCAGCAAGGCAUCAGACCUUGUUUUUAUCGGUCCUACUAGGGGUCACCCAGCAAUAUGAAGAUAAGGAAAUGAUGAAGAACACGACAAUAAGACCCAGAAGCCAUGGUGUAUACUGAUAACUUGUCUUGUUUAUGUGUGUACUGUACUGGUUGUGUUUGCAGUCCUUUGUGUAUUUGUAUAUCUCUCUGCUGGUCUUAAGAAGUUGCCAAAAUGCCAAAUGCUGCAGAAUUGGGCAUUUUGGCAAAACAUUUCAGGGACGCGCUGCUGCUGUUUUACAUCAUGGGGUCUACAAGGAGACGGUCUUGGGUUCCUCAGUCCACAUGAGAAGUUGAGCCAGGCAUCCUCGUGCUGGGGACCAUAGCAGAAGUGUUCAUCCUAUAAGAAGACCCCGAUGCCCUCCAUCUCCAAUGGGAUGCUGAGCCAGGAUUCAGAUUGAGUCGUCAACUAACCACCGGAUACCUGAAGCCAUUGGAGGCCAGAGCUGCUGUAACGUAGAUCCGACAGCAACAAGUGCUUGCAGGUCCUGCCAGUAUCAGCCCUGACUCCAGAGGGACUGUGCAAACUGCAAGAGACUUCGGGUCAUCUUCAACCUGAGCCCCAGUCUGGAGAGGAUCCCGACUUUGUGGAAGACUUCCUGCAUGGUUUCGGUCCUGAUGACGUCGCAUCUCAGGGAGCUGAACCACUUCAGACCCUCGCCUUUCAUCUGAUGAAGUCCAAGAGGAGAUCAACCUUGGCACACCAGUCCCCUGGUGAGCUUGAGCCUGGACCCCCUGCAGCUUACCUACCAGCCUGAGAUCAGGGUGGACAAUGCUGUCGUCUACCUGCUACACAGGUCCCUGGUUCACCUGGAGAACCCCAGCAGUGCUGUGAGGGUCAUGUUCUUUGACUUCUCCAGUGGAGUACAGGCAGAUCUUUGUUGGCAGAGACUGGACAUUAAGAGGAUGGAGAUGUACAAAUACCUGGGUGUUGGACUGGUCACCCCUGCACCUGCUGAGGAGACCGAGGUCCUUUGGAGCAUGCAGGACUCUUGUUAUGGACAUUUUAGAUGGCGUGAUGGCGUUUGCUCUCCUUCAUGCAGUGGUUGGCUGUGGAGGAGGGAGCAGAGAAAAAGACUAAACUGGUCAGGAGGGGCAGGUCUGUCCUGGACUGUUCCCUGGACUCUGAGGAGGAUGCUGGCCAAGCUGGCAUCCAUCAUGGACAAUCCCUCUCACCCUCUGCAUAACACUGUUGAGGCCUGAGCAGCCCCUUCAGCCAAAGACUGUUACACCGUCCUUUUAAGGUGUGCUAGAUCAUUCAAGCCAGGGACAGGCAACUUUGGUUACCAAGGGAACCACAUAAAUUCUGUUUUUCUUUCCUGAGGGCAACAUUGUUUUAAAUAGUCAGAUAGGACUGUUGUAAUAACUUAUAACCAGGGCUUUCGAGAGUAACUGCAUUAAUUAUUAUGCAUAAUUAGUGCCUUAUUAUUUUAAUACAGGGUAUUCUCACACUUAAUUGUCUCUUUCAACACACUUUGGUUCAGCUUUUUCAAUGUCUCCCAACAGCCACAGUUCUAAAAUAUAAGUCGAUCACUGAUCCUCAUUUUUUUUACUUCACUUUUAAAAACUCAGACAGUUCAGUGGACAAGUCAAAAGUCAUCUGCACCUAAUGUUAUCAAACGUUUACCUUCACCUGGAAUUUAAAUUGUGAUUAAUGUGAUUAAACAUUACAUGAUUAAUUGCAAUUAACUGCAGGGAUUCUGAGAUUAAUCCCGAUUAAAAAUGUUGAUCAUUUGACAGCCCUACUUACAAAUAUAUUUCAUCAAAUGUAAUGAACCAGCAUUUAUGUUUUAAAAGCUUGAAUGCAAACAGAAAAUCUUACUGAGUUAACAUAAAAUAAAACAGGAUUUCAGCUUCUUAAAUGGCAGGAUCAGUUUUUUGUGUUUUUUUUUUUUGUUUUUUUUUGCUGAAGUAUCUUUGAUUUGCAUCUCCUUUCCCUCCAAAUGCAUUUGUUAAUGCUUCUUUAAAGGGUUUAACUGAAACAAAUACAGUCGGUUCACUUCAUUAAUUUCCUACAAAGAACAAAACAUGCACUAGUAAUCCUGUUUUACAAGAUUAUAUUUAAAUAUUUCUGUUGCAUAUUUUUCUAAACAGUGUAUGCUGUUGUGCAUGUGGAUUUACUUCUUGGCUGAUGAUCUCAUGUUUACAGUUUGACAGUAGAAAUUUGCCCAAGUUCUCUUCUAUUUUAACUCAUAUACAGUAGAUAUAAGAGCUUACAUAAAUGUGAAUAUGCUUUUAUGUCUGUUUGUACAAAUAUGUAUGUGAACACUGUCCCACAGAUGUUACAGCCAGCUAUCCAAAAGUCUUUGCUCCUCAACACGUUUAAUUAUUGAUAAUACUAUUACAGUUUAGGAUGUGUAAUGUUACCUGGAUAUUUUUCCCUCAUUUAAAUUGGUACCAUUCACACUGUUUUCUUCAAAUCUGGUCUUGAUUCUUCCACAAGUCAAAGUGUGCAUGUGUACAUUAGUAAAUAAGACUAUCAUAUCACUUUUUGUCAUAUGGUGUUGAAGUGUUUUUGGCACUUUUCCCCUUUUUUGUUUUUUUUUUGUGUUAAUGUAUUUAUUAAAGAGUGCAAGUGUUACAAACAUUCCUAGUUUACAUUUUGCUUUUGUUAAAUAUUUGUUGGUUCUGUUUCCCUCUACUUUGAGCUAAUGCCAUAACCAA